UACGUAGGGUGCAAGCGUUAUCCGGAAUUAUUGGGCGUAAAGAGCUCGUAGGCGGUUUGUCGCGUCUGCUGUGAAAACUGGAGGCUCAACCUCCAGCCUGCAGUGGGUACGGGCAGACUAGAGUGCGGUAGGGGAGAUUGGAAUUCCUGGUGUAGCGGUGGAAUGCGCAGAUAUCAGGAAGAACACCUAUGGCGAAGGCAGGUCUCUGGGCCACUACUGACGCUGAGAAGCGAAAGCAUGGGGAGCGAACAGG
rnacentral:rRNA from 1 species